AAUCUGUUUGCCUUGAGGUAGUUUAAACUAUAUAGGCCUAGAUAAUAAAUUUAUUUAAUCUGAAAUUGCAUUGAUGUUGUUUUGGUGUUGUGUUUAUGAUACUUACUGCCUUUGACUUUUAUAAUCACAAGUCACAAAAAAAUUGUUGAGUACCUGUGCCUGUUGGUGAACUGUGUUUUAGGCAUUGUGCUACGGUAUAUGGUAUGUAUGAUCAUUUAGAAUUACAUAUUCUGACUUGUCUGCUAAAUUGUGAACUCCAUAAGCAUAGG
rnacentral:lncRNA from 1 species